rnacentral:ncRNA from 1 species
UUCAUCAACUAAGGGCUUACAUAUGGCAGAACUAAAACUGCCUAAGUGAUGAAACAUUCCAUAGAGACGUAAGUGCAAUUUGCGUAUUGCUAUUAAGAUAUUAAGAGCAAAAAAGCGUCUUAUAGCAAUUGCAAGAUGUUAAGAGUAAACAAAUUUGGGUAAAAUUCAGAUAUAAUUGCACUAUAUCUGUUUUUU